AACGCACCUUGCGCCCCUUGGUACUCCGAGGGGCACGCCUGUUUGAGUGUCGUGAAUUCCUCCACCCUUUCACUUUGUUGUGGUUGGGAUGGGAUUUGGGGGUUUCUUGCGGGGAUCAUUUUGAGCCCGCUCCCCUUGAAUGCAUUAGCAAAAAGACCCUUGUGGCCUCGGUGUGAUAAUUAUCUACGCCGUUCGGACAUGAAUUGACUUUUGCUUCCAAUCGUCUUCGGACAAACACAUCUGAAACUUGACCUCAAAUCAGGCGGGACUACCCGCUGAACUUAA
rnacentral:misc_RNA from 1 species